GUUGACUACAAUGCACAGUACGCCAGCCUUCUAAGCCGGCGGUUACAGGUUCGAUUCCUGUCGGGCGCGCCA
rnacentral:tRNA from 1 species